rnacentral:rRNA from 1 species
AACGCUAGCUACAGGCUUAACACAUGCAAGUCGAGGGACAGCAUGAACUUAGCUUGCUAAGUUUGAUGGCGACCGGCGCACGGGUGAGUAACGCGUAUCCAACCUUCCGUACACUCAGGGAUAGCCUUUCGAAAGAAAGAUUAAUACCUGAUGGUAUGAUGAGAUUGCAUGGUAACAUCAUUAAAGAUUUAUCGGUGUACGAUGGGGAUGCGUUCCAUUAGAUAGUAGGCGGGGUAACGGCCCACCUAGUCGACGAUGGAUAGGGGUUCUGAGAGGAAGGUCCCCCACAUUGGAACUGAGACACGGUCCAAACUCCUACGGGAGGCAGCAGUGAGGAAUAUUGGUCAAUGGGCGCGAGCCUGAACCAGCCAAGUAGCGUGAAGGAUGAAGGUCCUACGGAUUGUAAACUUCUUUUAUAAGGGAAUAAAGUCACCUACGUGUAGGUGUUUGUAUGUACCUUAUGAAUAAGCAUCGGCUAACUCCGUGCCAGCAGCCGCGGUAAUACGGAGGAUGCGAGCGUUAUCCGGAUUUAUUGGGUUUAAAGGGAGCGUAGACGGGUCGUUAAGUCAGCUGUGAAAGUUUGAGGCUCAACCUUAAAAUUGCAGUUGAUACUGGCGUCCUUGAGUACGGUUGAGGCAGGCGGAAUUCGUGGUGUAGCGGUGAAAUGCUUAGAUAUCACGAAGAACUCCGAUUG